rnacentral:rRNA from 1 species
ACGCGAGAAACCUUACCAGGUCUUGACAUCCCUCUGACCGGUAUAGAGAUAUACCUUUCCCUUCGGGGACAGUGGUGACAGGUGGUGCAUGGUUGUCGUCAGCUCGUGUCGUGAGAUGUUGGGUUAAGUCCCGCAACGAGCGCAACCCUUGAUCUUAGUUGCCAGCAUUCAGUUGGGCACUCUAAGAUGACUGCCGGUGACAAACCGGAGGAAGGUGGGGAUGACGUCAAAUCAUCAUGCCCCUUAUGACCUGGGCUACACACGUGCUACAAUGGAUGGUACAAAGGGCAGCAAAGCGGUGACGCCUAGCAAAUCCCAUAAAACCAUUCUCAGUUCGGAUUGUAGGCUGCAACUCGCCUACAUGAAGCUGGAAUCGCUAGUAAUCGCGGAUCAGCAUGCCGCGGUGAAUACGUUCCCGGGCCUUGCACACACCGCCCGU